AAGUCGUAACAAGGUUUCCGUAGGUGAACCUGCGGAAGGAUCAUUAAUGAACUAUUAAAGUUCAAAAAAGCUAGUUUUAAAAACUAGCAAAAAAAAAAUUAACCAAUUACGGUUAACUUGUGUUUUUACCAUGUGAAAAAUAUUAUACGUUAUUUUACUACUAGUAAAUAUUAUACGUUUAUUUUAUAAAAAAAAAAAUUGAAACAACUGUUAACAACGGAUCACUUGGUUCUCA
rnacentral:misc_RNA from 1 species